rnacentral:tRNA from 1 species
UGGGGUAUCGCCAAGCGGUAAGGCACCGGUUUUUGAUACCGGCAUUCCCUGGUUCGCCAGCCAUCCCAG